rnacentral:rRNA from 1 species
ACACAUGCAAGUCGAACGGCAGCACGGGCGCUCGCACUGGUGGCGAGUSGCGAACGGGUGAGUAAUACAYCGGCCCGUACCUGGUCAGUGGGCGAUAACGCAGCGACGGUUGCGCUCAAUACCGCAYACGGCCUGAGGGCGAAAGCGCGGGACCGCUAAGGCCUCGYGCGGYUAGCGCGGCCGAUGUCUGAUUAGCUUAUUGGUGAGGUCAUACCGCUCACCAAGGCCGUUGAUCAGUAGUCUGGUCUGCAGAGCACGCAUCAGUCCACACUGGGACUGGGACACGGCCCAGACUCCUACGGGCGGCAGCAGUGGGGAAUCAUUGACAAGUGGGCGUGCAUCCCUGACUCCAGCAAGUGCCAGCGAUGAGUGAAAGAUAGGCCUUCUGAAGUCUGUAAAAGCUCUCAUUGUCAGGGGAAGAUACAGCAGCUCCUAACACGACGUCAUGCGCAAUGACUGGUACCUGUAAGCAUCCAGCAUCCGCUCUAACUACGUGCCAGCUAGCCUGUGCUGAAUGACGUAGAGUGCGAGCGUUAAUCUGGCUAUUACUUAGCGUAAAGCGUGCGCAGGCUGUUAUACAAGUCAGGCGUGCMAUCCCUCRGCUUAACCUCGGAAUGGCGUCUGUGACUGUAUAGCUAGAGUGUGUCAGAGUGGGGGUGCAAUUCCACGCGUUAGCAGUGCAAAUGCGUAGCAUAUGUGGCAGCAACAUCAAUGGCGAAGGCAGCUGCCUGGGAUUAACACUGACGCUCAUGCACGAAAGCGUGGGGAGCAAACAGGAUUAGAUACCAUGGUAGUCCACGACCUAUACGAUGCUGACUAGUUGUCGGGAAUUUACAUUCUCAGUAACGUACGUAUCGCGUUAAGUCACCCGCCUGUGCAGUACGGUCGCAAGAUUAAAACUGCAAAGGAAUUGACGGGGACCCGCACAAGCGGUGGUAUGAUGUGAAUUAAUGCGAUGCAACGCGAAUAACCUUACCUUCCCUUGACAUGUCAGCUAACGAAGUAGAGAUAUCAUUAGGUGCGCGUAAGGUAAAGUGAACACAGGUGCUGCUAUGGCUGUCGUCAUGCUCGUGAUCGUGAGAUGUUGGGUUAAGUCCCGAACACGAGCGCAAUCCCUUGAUCUUGCAUGCUCUACGCAAGAGCACUCUAAAGAGACUGCCGGUGACAAACCGGAGGAAGGUGGGGAUGACGUCAAGUCCUCAUGGCCCUUAUAGGGUAGGGCUAUCACACGUCAUACAAUGGUGCGUACAGAGGGUUGCCAACCCGCGAGGGGGAGCUAAUCUCUUAAAACGCAUCGUAGUCCGGAUCGUAGUCUGCAACUCGACUACGUGAAGCUGGAAUCGCUAGUAAUCGCGGAUCAGCAUGUCGCGGUGAAUACGUUCCCGGGCCUUGUACACACCGA